rnacentral:misc_RNA from 1 species
GUAGGUGAACCUGCGGAAGGAUCAUUAUUGUAGGGGCAAGGCCCCCAAAAGGAUGUAGGCCAGCCAGAAUUGCCGCUCGUUCGGCACAUAUGGCUGGUUGUACACUGUCUAUAACCCUUGUCUAUUAGUACCUCUGUUUCCUCGGCAGGCCUGCCUGUCAAUGGGGACCCCAUUAAACCUUUUUAUAUGUUGUAACCGUACCAAACAAAUAAUUAAAACUUUCAACAACGGAUCUCUUGGUUCUGGCAUC